AUGAACGCUGGCGGCGUGCCUAAUACAUGCAAGUCGAGCGAACGGACGAGAAGCUUGCUUCUCUGAUGUUAGCGGCGGACGGGUGAGUAACACGUGGAUAACCUACCUAUAAGACUGGGAUAACUUCGGGAAACCGGAGCUAAUACCGGAUGAUAUUUUGAACCGCAUGGUUCAAAAGUGAAAGACGGUCUUGCUGUCACUUAUAGAUGGAUCCGCGCUGCAUUAGCUAGUUGGUAAGGUAACGGCUUACCAAGGCAACGAUGCAUAGCCGACCUGGGAGGGUGAUCGGCCACACUGGAACUGAGACACGGUCCAGACUCCUACGGGAGGCAGCAGUAGGGAAUCUUCCGCAAUGGGCGAAAGCCUGACGGAGCAACGCCGCGUGAGUGAUGAAGGUCUUCGGAUCGUAAAACUCUGUUAUUAGGGAAGAACAUAUGUGUAAGUAACUGUGCACAUCUGGACGGUACCUAAUCAGAAAGCCACGGCUAACUACGU
rnacentral:rRNA from 1 species